AUCAACCAAAAGCAAAUAUAUCCAGCAGCAUGUCAAGAACGAAAUCAACCACAGGAAAUCUUUAAUGUUAACCACAGAGAAGUUCACACUCGGCGGAGCAAAAAGAGAACUACUCAGUACCAAAACAUUGGGAACAAGCAUAGAUACUAAGAACUGGCUCAAGCUUCUGCUCAGGAAACAAGCGCUCUAGUAACCACCCUUGAGAUCGUUGACGACGUCGUACGGGAUGGGGGUGACCGUCUCGAUGGUGGUGCCCUCCACCAUGAACCCAGGCUUGGGCCCUGCUGGCUGCCUCUUCGUGCUGAUGACCUCGCCACGCGCCUUGGCCUCCGCCUUCAGCUUGUCAUUGUUGAGUUUCCUCUGGAGGAACUCCUCGUUGCACCUGGAUGGCUGCACGUGCUCCACACGCACAUGGAUCCUCUUCUUGAUGAUCCUGUUGCCGACCUGAUGACAGGGAACACAUGUUACAAUCUGUGUACAGACAUAUAUGAAACCACUGAUACAUAGUGUAGCGCAACAGUUACAUGCAGAAGACAUGACAAGCAAACACUUAACUUAGAUUGACAUCACAAGUAGUUUACUGACAAGGAAAUGGAGAAAUAAUAUUGUGCCCAACAUCAAGUGAUGUAAAAUGUGGCACUGUGGCCUAACAAUCCAUGCCACCAAAUGGAUAAAACAUUUACUGUGUACAAAUCAUAGUAGCACAGAAAGAUUAGCUAUGAAACGCAUCCAAACUGCCUACAAAUUAGACAAAACAAGCCAUGAAAUGCAUCAAAAUUGCAGACACUUUGGAUCAUACAGGCUAUGAUAUGCUUCCAAUAUGCAGACACAAUACAUGAAACAAGCUAGGGUAUCACUAGAUAAAUAAACAGAUGUUUAUAUGUGUAUCAUCCAAUUAGGCUCUCAUAACUGCUACAGAUAAAGCAUGCAGUCAGGGGAAGCCAGAAUGAAAAUUUUGCUGUAUGCCCAUCACACGAAUCGUGCGCCACAAAAACCUCUCCCGUGGAAUACCACGCCUUCCCAUAGCUGAAGGGGGAAGCGCUCGGCCUAGGGCAUAUGUAAUCAACAGAGAUAAAGCAUAAAUUUUCAAGAUGAUGCAUCAGAUAACAGACCAUCAAAUCACUGCGGGACAUCACAGAAAUGUGUAGCUAUGAAAGGAAAUUGACACAGUAACAGUAAGCCGGACAGAAUUGCUCUGAAGAGUAAAUCACACGCACACAUAGCAGGCUAGCAUAACAAAUCAAGCACAAUAAACCAUUGAUCUAGUCUACUGGACUGUAUUCGCACCAAACGAACCAAGAUACUUGAUGGUCUAGCUCAUUUUCAGCAGGUUAUAACAACGAGAAACCGAAAACAGAACAGAUUUAUGCAUCCCGUCGGUCAAGAUCACAGUAUCGCCCUCGCAGCACAGAUCUAGGAAACCCGACCACCACAGAUGAAGAAGGGAGAAGACGGGGCAGGGGGCAGGGGAGUUAUACCUGCUUGUUGAUCUCGACGCCGAUGGCGCGCUUGGUGACGUUCCAGACGCGGCCGGUGCGGCCGUGGUAGAACUUGUGCGGCAUGCCCUUGUGGACGGCGCCGUUCACCUUGACGUCGACGUGCUCCCCGACCUUGUAGGUGCGCAGGUAGGUGGUGAGCGGGAUGUACCCCUUCUUACGGAAGGGCCGCGCGAACAGGUCGCGCGUCCGCGACCGCAGCCCGUGCCCCGCCGGCAUCUUCCCCUUCCUUCCUCCUCCUUGCCUUCUCUCCCUGCGGCUGUGCGGCGGCGGCGGCGGGCGGGGGGAGUGUGUGCGGCGCUAGGGUUUCUUAGGAUGGAGGUGCCGCGUAUUUAUAAAUGGGUCUCGGGCCGUUCUGCCGGAUGC
rnacentral:lncRNA from 1 species